rnacentral:tRNA from 1 species
GAAAAAGUGGUGAAAAUAUCAUUUUACGUUGUCGAUGUAAGGUUGCCUUGAUUACUGGGUCUUUUUCG